CGAACAUAUUUGUAUAAUGUUAUCAUAUCCCCUCUCAGGCGACGUUUUUCUAAACUAAAUAGGUUUAAAUUUGUUAACCUUUCUUCCUAGCGGAUAUGUUCCAUUCCUUUUAUUAAUUUUGUAGCCCGCCUCUGCACUUUUUCUAGUGCCAUAAUAUCCUUCUUUAGAACAGGUGCCCAAAAUUGCACAGCAUAUUCAAUA